AAGUGUAUUUCCUGGCGCUGUGUCAAGCUCUCAGGAAUGAAUAUUUGGAUAGAGGAAUUGUUAGGAGUUCUAGAAGAGGGAUGGAAUGCAAACAACAACUCCCUUUCUCUCCAGGAAGAAGAGACCUGAAGCCCACGAUUGUGGUUUUUGAAGACUGAGCUCUCUGCCCUUGCGUAAGGAGGUCCAAGAUUUCUCCUUGAUAAAAAUGUGGACUGAAAUGCUAGUUAAAAGAAGCAAUUAGGGCUUUUGGUAUAGAGAAAUAUUUGGAAGCUGAAGAGACUGAGGUGGACUGGAAAAGAUUUGGAGAUGCCAAACAUCACAACUCAGAGACAGGAAAGUGGUCUGAAAAUAUAGCAGCUGCCUGGAGGUGCCAGGUGAGUGGGCUUGGAGAAGAGCCACGAUGAGGGCCACUGUUGGAGUCAUACUGAAGAAACUCUUCACAGCCUUCCCCAGAGGACUAUGCAGUUAAGCGGCAAUUCUGCCUCAUGUAGACAAAUAAUCAUGGAAGGUGAUUCGCAGCCUGUGAUCAACUUCUUUUUUAUCCCAGCAAAAAUAAG
rnacentral:lncRNA from 1 species